rnacentral:rRNA from 1 species
UAGGGAAUCUUCCGCAAUGGACGCAAGUCUGACGGAGCAACGCCGCGUGAGUGGAGAAGGAUUUCGGUUCGUAAAACUCUGUUGUUAGAGAAGAACAGCGCAUAGAGUAACUGUUAUGCGUGUGACGGUAUCUAACCAGAAAGCCACGGCUAACUACGUGCCAGCAGCCGCGGUAAUACGUAGGUGGCAAGCGUUGUCCGGAUUUAUUGGGCGUAAAGCGAGCGCAGGCGGUCAAUUAAGUCUGAUGUGAAAGCCCCCGGCUCAACCGGGGAGGGUCAUUGGAAACUGGUUGACUUGAGUGCAGAAGAGGAGAGUGGAAUUCCAUGUGUAGCGGUGAAAUGCGUAGAUAUAUGGAGGAACACCAGUGGCGAAGGCGACUCUCUGGUCUGUAACUGACGCUGAGGCUCGAAAGCGUGGGUAGCAAACAGG